AAGCGUACACGGUGGAUGCCCUGGCAGUCAGAGGCGAUGAAGGACGUGCUAAUCUGCGAAAAGCGCCGGCGAGGUGAUAUGAACCUUUGACCCGGCGAUGUCCGAAUGGGGAAACCCAGUGUGUUCCGACACACUAUCGUUAACUGAAUACAUAGGUUAACGAGGCGAACCGGGGGAACUGAAACAUCUAAGUACCCCGAGGAAAAGAAAUCAACCGAGAUUCCCCCAGUAGCGGCGAGCGAACGGGGAGCAGCCCAGAGUCUGAAUCAGCUUGUGUGUUAGUGGAAGCGUCUGGAAAGUCGCACGGUACAGGGUGACAGUCCCGUACACGAAAACGCACAGGUUGUGAACUCGAAGAGUAGGGCGGGACACGUGGUAUCCUGUCUGAAUAUGGGGGGACCAUCCUCCAAGGCUAAAUACUCCUGACUGACCGAUAGUGAACCAGUACCGUGAGGGAAAGGCGAAAAGAACCCCGGCGAGGGGAGUGAAAAAGAACCUGAAACCGUGUACGUACAAGCAGUGGGAGCACCUUCGUGGUGUGACUGCGUACCUUUUGUAUAAUGGGUCAGCGACUUAUAUUCUGUAGCAAGGUUAACCGUAUAGGGGAGCCGAAGGGAAACCGAGUCUUAACUGGGCGUUAAGUUGCAGGGUAUAGACCCGAAACCCGGUGAUCUAGCCAUGGGCAGGUUGAAGGUUGGGUAACACUAACUGGAGGACCGAACCGACUAAUGUUGAAAAAUUAGCGGAUGACUUGUGGCUGGGGGUGAAAGGCCAAUCAAACCGGGAGAUAGCUGGUUCUCCCCGAAAGCUAUUUAGGUAGCGCCUCGUGAACUCAUCUUCGGGGGUAGAGCACUGUUUCGGCUAGGGGGCCAUCCCGGCUUACCAACCCGAUGCAAACUACGAAUACCGAAGAAUGUUAUCACGGGAGACACACGGCGGGUGCUAACGUCCGUCGUGAAGAGGGAAACAACCCAGACCGCCAGCUAAGGUCCCAAAGUCAUGGUUAAGUGGGAAACGAUGUGGGAAGGCACAGACAGCCAGGAUGUUGGCUUAGAAGCAGCCAUCAUUUAAAGAAAGCGUAAUAGCUCACUGGUCGAGUCGGCCUGCGCGGAAGAUGUAACGGGGCUAAACCAUGCACCGAAGCUGCGGCAGCGACGCUUAUGCGUUGUUGGGUAGGGGAGCGUUCUGUAAGCCGUUGAAGGUGGCCUGUGAGGGUUGCUGGAGGUAUCAGAAGUGCGAAUGCUGACAUAAGUAACGAUAAAGCGGGUGAAAAGCCCGCUCGCCGGAAGACCAAGGGUUCCUGUCCAACGUUAAUCGGGGCAGGGUGAGUCGACCCCUAAGGCGAGGCCGAAAGGCGUAGUCGAUGGGAAACAGGUUAAUAUUCCUGUACUUGGUGUUACUGCGAAGGGGGGACGGAGAAGGCUAUGUUAGCCGGGCGACGGUUGUCCCGGUUUAAGCAUGUAGGCGGAGGUUCCAGGUAAAUCCGGUACCUUUUAACGCUGAGGUGUGAUGACGAGGCACUACGGUGCUGAAGUAACAAAUGCCCUGCUUCCAGGAAAAGCCUCUAAGCAUCAGGUAACAUCAAAUCGUACCCCAAACCGACACAGGUGGUCAGGUAGAGAAUACCAAGGCGCUUGAGAGAACUCGGGUGAAGGAACUAGGCAAAAUGGUGCCGUAACUUCGGGAGAAGGCACGCUGAUAUGUAGGUGAAGCCCCUGCGGGUGGAGCUGAAAUCAGUCGAAGAUACCAGCUGGCUGCAACUGUUUAUUAAAAACACAGCACUGUGCAAACACGAAAGUGGACGUAUACGGUGUGACGCCUGCCCGGUGCCGGAAGGUUAAUUGAUGGGGUUAGCGGCAACGCGAAGCUCUUGAUCGAAGCCCCGGUAAACGGCGGCCGUAACUAUAACGGUCCUAAGGUAGCGAAAUUCCUUGUCGGGUAAGUUCCGACCUGCACGAAUGGCGUAAUGAUGGCCAGGCUGUCUCCACCCGAGACUCAGUGAAAUUGAACUCGCUGUGAAGAUGCAGUGUACCCGCGGCAAGACGGAAAGACCCCGUGAACCUUUACUAUAGCUUGACACUGAACACUGGUCCUUGAUGUGUAGGAUAGGUGGGAGGCUUUGAAGUGUGGACGCCAGUCUGCAUGGAGCCGUCCUUGAAAUACCACCCUUUAAUGGCUGGUGUUCUAACGUAGACCCGUGAUCCGGGUUGCGGACAGUGUCUGGUGGGUAGUUUGACUGGGGCGGUCUCCUCCCAAAGAGUAACGGAGGAGCACGAAGGUUAGCUAAUCCUGGUCGGACAUCAGGAGGUUAGUGCAAUGGCAUAAGCUAGCUUGACUGCGAGAGUGACGGCUCGAGCAGGUGCGAAAGCAGGUCAUAGUGAUCCGGUGGUUCUGAAUGGAAGGGCCAUCGCUCAACGGAUAAAAGGUACUCCGGGGAUAACAGGCUGAUACCGCCCAAGAGUUCAUAUCGACGGCGGUGUUUGGCACCUCGAUGUCGGCUCAUCACAUCCUGGGGCUGAAGUAGGUCCCAAGGGUAUGGCUGUUCGCCAUUUAAAGUGGUACGCGAGCUGGGUUUAGAACGUCGUGAGACAGUUCGGUCCCUAUCUGCCGUGGGCGCUGGAGAAUUGAGGGGGGCUGCUCCUAGUACGAGAGGACCGGAGUGGACGCAUCACUGGUGUUCGGGUUGUCAUGCCAAUGGCACUGCCCGGUAGCUAAAUGCGGAAAAGAUAAGUGCUGAAAGCAUCUAAGCACGAAACUUGCCCCGAGAUGAGUUCUCCCUGAGACUUUAAGUCUCCUGAAGGAACGUUGAAGACGACGACGUUGAUAGGUCGGGUGUGUAAGCGCAGCGAUGCGUUGAGCUAACCGAUACUAAUGAACCGUGAGGCUUAACCUU
rnacentral:rRNA from 1 species